GGUUGCGAUCAUACCAGCACUAAUGCACCGGAUCCCAUCAGAACUCCGCAGUUAAGCGUGCUUGGGCGAGAGUAGUACUAGGAAGGGUGACCCCCUGGGAAGUCCUCGUGUUGCAACCC
rnacentral:rRNA from 2 species